CUUCCUUCCUGUUGGACUAGUCGAUGUGCCCGGACUUUACAAUCAGGAACGAUGCAUCACUCACGGCGACGUUCACAGUGUUGCUACCGAGUGCACAAGAUCAGAGAACGCCGGCGAACGGGUCUUCUGUCUGUGCGUGAGUACCGGCGUGUUGCAGUACCGGCGUGUUGCAGUACCGGCGUGUUGCAGUACCGGCGUGUAAG